UCUGUGAAGGCGAAAGAUGACGGCACUGUGGAGCUUCUGCCCUGCGCCUAUGUCUCUUCCCUGAAGGACACCAUACUAGACAACCUGGAAAGAAGCAGGAAUGCAAGCAGCCUAACCUGGCAUGAUACAACAAUUCCCAAGGAGGAGAUCUGGGUCAAGCUUGGAGGGGACCAUGGGGGAGGGUCAUUCAAAAUGGCCUUCCAGGUCCUCAACAAGCCCAAUCCCAACUCCAAGGAUAACACAAAUGUGUUUUGUGUUUCCAACGACCAAAGACAGCAGGGAGAAUCUAAACCUUGCUACUAGCAGGUUUUCCUCUGACAUCAGGGAUUUGCAACAUUCAAAGUGGAAGUGUCAAGAUGGUGAAGAGUAUUCCCUUCGACUUUUUGCGGCUGGGGACUACGCAUACCUGUGCCUGUGGUAUGGCUUGUCUGGUGCUUGUGGACUGACUCCUUGCUUGUGGUGCCACAUCACGCAGGAGGAGAUCAGGGACAAAGACAACUGUCGCCUGAGAAUCCCGCCCAGAACUCUGAACAGCUUGGCUGAAGACCACCUGAAGUUUGUGCGUGAUGGCAAAGGGGCGCACAAACUCGCCAAGCUGCACCACAAUGCCAUUGCACCAGUUAUGUUUGACG